GGGGGCUGCACAAUUCCAGGAGCCAGUCCAUCAAGAAUGCAUUCGUGACUUGGUAUGGGGGUGAAGCAGAACAAAAGUAGUGUCUGUGUGCUUGCGUCACAGGAGCAGCUUUGGGAGAGAUGGCUACUGACCAACCAAUCCAGCUGGUGGAACCCAGAUUUUUAAGACCAACUAGUUGCCCGUCAGGAAGUAUAUACAAGGGAUAAACCCACCAUCAUGACUCUCUCUUUCCUUCUGUUUGAUUUUUUCAGGAGUGCCAAUCUGUGAUAGGCUGCUCUCAUGUGAUGAUUACUCUGUUGUGUAGCCUCAGACACUAAUGAUGUACAGACUUUCCAAAGUUCAACUGUUUUACAAAGUUCCAAAAUUAAUACCAACAGCAUUUCUGGGAAGAAGAAGGGAACUACUGUGACAUAUGGACCAAAUCUGAUGAUUCGUCCGAAACUGAUCAGCUGAAUUUUUACCUCCUUUGUCCCUUCUAAUCCCUUAAGAAAUGAGAAUCAAUCAAUGUCACAUUGUCCAAUCAUUCCACAAGGAAUAAUGAAUAGGUCCUUACGCUUAAAGGGAGCUUUCUUUGAUGACCUCAAAGUUUGUCACACACAAUAGGACAUUGUGAACUCACUGGAAAUGAUCCAGAAGAGAAGAGAGGAAACAUUCAGGACAAGCAGCACAGUCAGAGAGGUUCAAGUUCACAUGAGUGACAGCAGCAAAAUGUCUUGGACAUCCAGGAAGCAAUAUAAGGACACCAGGGCCUCCAAGGAGUUCAAAGUGCAUGCAGGAGUCAGGGUGAGGCCCAACAGCAACUUUGGCCAAACUCAGCAUUUGGCCCAAAGUAGAGAUUUCUCCCAAGCACUGAUAGGUUUUCUUAUCCAUGAAGACUUGGUUCCCAGCUACUCUCUAUGGCUCCAGGCAUUCCCUGAAUUGGCACCAGCCAGUGCCCCAAUAUCCCCUCGGCUCUUCACUUUCCAAAUGACUCAGCAAAUCAUUAUUCAUGUUGUCUGAGUUGACUUAUGAAACCCUAAUAUGACAGAUGAGAACUAGUUUUCUUGGGGUUUUUAUUCCUGUAGGCAGUUUUCCG
rnacentral:lncRNA from 1 species